CCUGCCUUGGAGUGGGAAUAACAGCUGGAAACAGCUGCUAAUACCGCAUGAUAUGUCUGUAUCACAUGGUACUGGACAUCAAAGAUCUAUCGCUCUGAGAUGGGCUCGCGUCUGAUUAGCUAGUUGGUGGGGCAACGGCCCACCAAGGCGACGAUCAGUAGCCGGACUGAGAGGUUGGCCGGCCACAUUGGGACUGAGACACGGCCCAGACUCCUACGGAAGGCAGCAG
rnacentral:rRNA from 1 species